AAGAACAAGGAUUUUAUAUGUUGUAUAAGCAACCUCCACCUUUUGUGACUUAUUCCCACCACCAAGACCAGCAAGGCAUGCUUCGUACAAGGCCGGUUAACUCUACUAGUAGUAGUAAUGAUAGUCUUAGGUUGUCUUCUGUAAAUACUAAUGCUAUGACCAUAUUAGGAACUAACGGGUUACCCACUAAGGGAAUCCCUUUGCUACAUUUCGC
rnacentral:lncRNA from 1 species